GCUUGUGACCUUCCAUCCGAUCCGCUCUCCUGUCAGCAGGGGGCAGUGGCACAGACAUGCUAGGAGCUAAAGUUUCAUAGUGUCAGUGACAUCACUCCCAGCUCAGCUCUGAUUGGCUGAAAGCUGCAAGGAAGGUGAUCUAAUGGCUCAGGUACAGAUGACCGUUAUUUCAUUUCUGGAUUCAGAGGUAAGUGCAGCAGAUCCAUACACUGGGAACAGGGGGGCAUAUUUAGAUGAUACAAAGGGCAAUUUCGGGUAUUUUGGCACGCAUCAUUUAUAGUAGCUUGGGUAGUGGGACCAUCGCUCCCAAAAUUGCCCCAUUGCCUACCACUCUAAUUGCUUUGGGAGCUGCUUUCCAUGAAACUGUUCCAAAUUACAUCUGUGUGACAAGCAGGAAAGGUGGUGGUGGAGGGGGGGGGGUGGUGGAGUAAUUUAAUGCAAUUUGGCAUGACUUUCCUGCAAUAAAUACACUAUGAUGGUAUAAGAUACAUUGUGCUCUCUGGGUAUUACAUUCUACACAUUUGAAAUUUCUGCAAUUGUACAUGGGGACUGCAGCCUGUUAUGAGGCACUGAACAUAUAUUCAAAUAAAAACACAACUCAGUAUUAAUGGGAUACAGAUACCUAGAUAUUACACUUAUACAGGGUAUCACUUGAAAAUGGGUUUCUGAUAGCAGCCCUGCCCCCCCAAUCUACUAACACAUGUGGGUGUCAAAGUGCCUAAAAUCUCCCCAUAUGCCAUCUCUAAUGGGAGUGAGACCAUAACAACUUAUAGUUCUAAGGCAAUGUGUGCUUGGUGUUUGGUUUACUUGUUGUUGCAUUUGAACCAUUUGACAAUUUUCUCUGCCUCUGCUGUAAAUGCCAACGGUCAUUUGCCAACGGUCAUUUUCCAACGGUCGCUCUCAUCCUAGCAACAGUCAGUGGCCUCAGCACUAGAGUGGGUGACAGUUUAGAGAGGCUUAAGUAGAAAGACAAGUAGCACAAAUCAGAAGAAUAAAUGCCUGCCCUUAGGAUUCCUGGCAUUAUGGGUGCAGGGGCACUGAUCAGAGCAGAGCUGGUUAUGGGAAGCAGGCAUACUGGAUACAUGCAGGGGGAAAGGGAAACCAAUAGGAAUAUGGAAUAACAUAAUUUAAAAAGCCUUUAUUUGCACAUGGCUUCAGGAUCUACAACAGACAUGACGUUUCGGGCCCGAAACGUCAUGUCUGUUGUAGAUCCUGAAGCCAUGUGCAAAUAAAGGCUUUUUAAAUUAUUAUCUUGACUGGAGCUGUGUCAUAUAUUGGAACAUUUCAAGGAAUUAGGAUUGAUCAAAUGGCUUGAAAAUGCAGAGAAACCUGCGAUUUGCAACUUGUCCCAUAAUCACACAAAUUCGAGGGAAAUGGUACAACCACUUUUAGUAAUGUUAAUUUGCUUAACUGUCAAAUUCCUGAUUAAAAUGCCCCAAAAUGUUUUAGAAUUUCUACAGAGAUAUCGCUUGCUAAGGUAAAAACCGUUAGUUUAAUGUUAUUUUGUUUGGUUUUGCAGAGAGCCCACCGGCCACCAGCACCACCUGAGUGUACUCCUUACCAAGUACCGAUGCACCUCUGUGUAGGUGACAGUCAUGACACAGAGGUGAGUGAGCCAUUCACAAUUCCACCAACAGUGCCUCCACUCCAAUACACUACGAUUCCACCAGUGGUGCUCCCCCUUACACCUAAAAUAUGGUUCCAUAGACAGGAGCACCCUUAGGCCACUCGGUAAACCCUGUAUUCCUCUUCAAUCCAUCCCUCAGACUGCAGAAGCCGGGUCUGCAAGCUGCCUGGGUCCAAUGGAAUGGAGAGGAAUGCAGUGUUCACCUAGCAGCUUAAAGGUGCUCAUGUGUAUGUAGCCAUAUUCCCCUAUGUUUCAAUUCCCUCCACCAUAAUUCCACCAGUGGUGCCCCCCUUACACCUAAAAUAUGGUUCCAUAGACAGGAGUACCCUUAAGCCACUUGGUAGACCCUACAUUCCUUUUCACUCCAUCCCACAGACUGCAAAAGCCGGGCCUGUAGGAUGUCUUGGGUUCAAUAGAAUAAAAAGGAAUGCAGUGUACACCUUGUAGCUUGAAAUCGCUCAUGUGUAUGCUGCCAUAUUUCCCUCUGUUUUAAUACCCUCCACUGUAAUUCCACCAGUGGUGCUCCCCCUUGCAACUAAAAUAUGGUUCCAUAGACAGGAGCACCCUUAAGCUGCUUGUUAGACCCUGCAUUUCUUUUCACUCCAUCCCUCAAUACUGCUGAGGCCGGGUUCUGCAGGCUGCCUGGGGUCCAAUGGAAUGGAGAGGUAUGCAGUGUUUACCCUGUAGCUUAAAGGCGCUCGUGUGUAUGCUGCCAUAUUGCCUUCUAUUUUUAUUCCCUCCACCUCAAUUUCAACCAGUGUCCCUUCUUUCCCCCUAAAUAUGGUUCCAUAGACAGGACCACCUUUAAGCCACCCGGUAGACCCUGCAUUCCUUUCCACUCCAUCCCUCAAUCUGCAGUAGCGGGGUCUACAGGCUGCCUAGGGUCCAAUGGAAUGGAAUGUAGUGUUCACCUUGAGGCUUAAAGGCGCUCAUGUGUAUGCUGCCAUAUUCCCUUCUGCCUCCCUCACCCUGCUAACCUUGAUUUUAUUUGGCACAUUGAUCCUGGGAGCAAAUCUGAUUGCCGUUAAGGGGUCAGGAAGGAAUUUUUCCCUCUAGUAAGCAGAUUGGCCCAAGCUUGCCAGGGUUUUUGCCUUCCUCUGGAUCAAAUAGUGCAGUAUAUCUAAUUAUUAUCAAUAAAACUGUGACUUACACAGAUUUAACAUCAA